rnacentral:rRNA from 1 species
AUUGAACGCUGGCGGCAUGCCUUACACAUGCAAGUCGAACGGCAGCGGGCCCUUCGGGGUGCCGGCGAGUGGCGAACGGGUGAGUAAUGCAUCGGAACGUACCCGGGAGAGGGGGAUAACCGGCCGAAAGGCUGGCUAAUACCGCAUGAACUCGGAAGAGCAAAGCGGGAGACCUUCGGGCCUCGCGCUCUCGGAGCGGCCGAUGUCCGAUUAGGCUAGUUGGUGGGGUAAAGGCCCACCAAGGCGACGAUCGGUAGCGGGUCUGAGAGGACGAUCCGCCACACUGGGACUGAGACACGGCCCAGACUCCUACGGGAGGCAGCAGUGGGGAAUCUUGGACAAUGGGCGCAAGCCUGAUCCAGCAAUGCCGCGUGGGUGAAGAAGGCCUUCGGGUUGUAAAGCCCUUUCGGCGGGGAAGAAAUCGGUCAGGCGAAUAGUCUGGCCGGAUGACGGUACCCGCAGAAGAAGCACCGGCUAACUACGUG